rnacentral:rRNA from 1 species
UACAGAGGUCUCGAGCGUUAGGCGGAAUCACUGGGCUUAAAGCGUGUGUAGGCGGCUCGGUAAGUACCUUGUGAAAUCCCACAGCUUAACUGUGGAACUGCUUGGUAUACUGCCGGUCUUGAGCCAGCUAGGGGCUACCGGAACAAAUGGUGGAGCGGUGAAAUGCGUAGAUAUCAUUUGGAACGCCAAUGGUGAAAACAGGUAGCUGGGGCUGUGCUGACGCUGAGACACGAAAGCCAGGGGAGCAAACGGG